UCACAAUUUUAAAAAAUUCAUUCGAAUAAUAUAAAAAUUAAAAAUUUUUUUUUCGUAUUUCAAAACAGUCGUCCAUUCAUCACCUCAAAAGAAAAAUCCUGUUGAAUCCCCCACCUAUAACGAUUUUCGAAUGAUGGAAGAAGCAGGCUGCGCCUCACUCUUCGCGGAGCAUAAUUAUGGAGGGGAUCGUUAAUCGGUUCACCGAAGGAUCAGCCAGGCAACAGGGAACAGCGUAUGGUUGGCUGUUAUCAACGCAGCUCGUAUAUCGUCGCAAACCGUUGUAAAGUAGAGGAGCGGCGAGCGUACGAUUUCGCUGCGGGUUACAAUUACGAGCGAGGCGCGUAAUUAAAAGCUGAUGUCCCCCAUUUAUUAACGCUACCGGACGAGUGCACCGGUCGAGAGCCGCUCGUUUUAAUGCCAAACGUCAUCAGCAUCGACCGUCGUCCCCUUCGUCUCUCCCUUCCUCCCUCCCUCCCCUCCUUCCUUCCUCCAUGCUCCUUCGCCAUGAAUGGAGCCCAUUGGUUCUGAUCCACUGGCUCGCAACCACGGUUUUCGCGUAUCUCAUUUGCAUAUUUUUCACCUCGGAUACGCGUACGCCUGUUUCAUAGAUAAGAUCGAUAAUCGUUUCCAGACGACUCAAUCCGUUUUACGAGUUUUUCAGAUAAUCGGCGUGUCUACUAUGGAUUAUGGAUGCGUAACGAACAGGCUUGAUCGAUAUCUGCCGGAUUUCGAAGGAUUGAGGUUAUACGUUCCAAAGGAAAUUUUGUGACGUUUCUGUUGAAUUCGGUAUCGAGGAGAUUAACGUGGUUGUCGAUUGUGCCGAUUGUGAUGAGAUUUACUUCUAAUCGGCCACAACUGGAUUCGUUCGAACGACGAUUAUCACAGGAUAAAGAUACGUUAAAUGGAUCAUUAACGUCGAUAUCGAGAAAUCAAUGAAGGAUUACACGAUAGAUCGCUCAAAUUCCCGUCGAUCGUUGCGUCACACACGGUCAUCAAUACGUCGAAAAUAUAAUUAUUCUCGCGGUACCGCUUGCCAUAUGUUGCUUUUAACAACGUACCCCGUUCGAGCAUAAUCUCUCGAGGAAGUGGUUUUUAGAGUCGAAAGGUGCUUCUGCUUGAUCUUUCACCUUCUAUCUAUCCGUUGAAAUUCUGUUAGAGAGAAUAGAAGAAUGUAAAUAUUAUCGGCUUAAAUGCUUAGAGGAUUAGGAGAGGGGCUAAUUUAAUUUAUGAACAUUAUGAAAUUGAGAAGAACAAUCGAUAAAUAUUUUACGUAUUUAGGAAUUCUUUAACGAAGGAUAUUUAAGGAUAAUAUAUAGAUUUCACGGUUCGUGGCUUCUUGACAUCACGCUCUUCUCCCUUUAUUUUGAACUCAUUUGGCUACAGAAUAUCACAACAUGAUAGAUCGAACUUUAUAGAUAGAAUUGCACCGAUCAUAAUGUAUGUGAAAUUCUCUUCCAUCGAUCGAAUCGAUGUUUUCGAUCUUUUACACAUUUUUGAACAAAAUCGAUAUUUAAUAUUUACAAAAUGUAUAUUAUAAUCUGGAAGAAUUGGAUUUACUUCGGAAUGAGGAAUUCUUCGAAAGAAAUUGACUCGAUUAAAAUUUAUCCGGAUCCAUAUAAAAUAUAAAAUAAAUGACGAUAAAUUUCGAUUCGAUCGGUCGAAUUUCACGAAAAAUAUGAUCGAUGAUAACGUCAUAACGAGUGAUUGACGCCAUGUUCAACAGACAUAUCAUUUUGUUGAUCUUUUUUUUCUUUUUUUCUUUUUUGUACACACACCUUAAGUACAAAACAGCAGAAGUAACGAUGCGCACAGACAGACAACGAUACACAGAUUUAAAUGGGCUACGCCACAUUCAUAAAUAUACUCUUGACACUUAUGCAACUGAGCACCGCUUAUACAACGCGACGAUGAUAAAAUAUUAUUUUCCAGCGACGGUUCACUGGCGCGAUUUAGCUUUUGAUGCAUGGUUCCGUUGUUCUCCUUUUUUUUUUACGCGAUUAUCAACGUGUGCAAUUUGUUUCAUACCUCGAUUCGAGAUUGAAAUAUCAUUGAAAACUUUGUGAAAGUUUCGUCUCGAACAAUUCGAACAAUUUAUAUUCAGUAAUGGAGAUAGAAUUUGCAAGGGAUGCGAAUAUAAUGUUUUAUAUACGUCCAUCUUUCGUUCGUUAUUAGUUUCUUUUUUAAAUUUAUUUGUUAUCUCAGCUUUGUAAUUUAAAAAGUUUUUUAAAAAUUUUUUUAAAAAUUUUCGUAUUGGUAUUGUAAUUUUUAUAAUGAUACGUGUUAUUUUUGAGUGAUACUCGAGAAGGGUGUGACGUCCAUUUUGUUGAUCUCUGAAACUUAUUGAAAGGCUGUAUAAGUUUUUAUAAAAAAAAAAAAAAAAAAAAGAAAAUGCAUAAAUUAUAAAAAUCAUUAAUUGUAGUUCUUAACAGUGGAAUCAAUCUCGAACAAAGUUUUUCAAUAAAUUACAUUGACGUACAUUAUUUUGUAAAUAAAUCCAUCAAUCAUGUCAAUUAUUUGCAAAUUAAUUUUGAAUAAUUUUAAUUAUUCCUUCAAGAAGAAUUAUAUAAAUUAUAAUUAGUAAUACUAUAUUUUGUAUGACACAUUUUAAAUAUCGUUACAAAUUCACGAAUCACCGUGAAACAGAGAGGCAAUACACUCAUAGAUUACAAUCUUCUAAUAAUUUUUAUCAUAUAUAUAAUCCUAUAUACUAUGUAUGUAUAUAUCAUUUUACAUUUAGCCUGAGAUAGAAGGUGUAUGUAUACCAUACGAUUAAAGUAUUGUCAACAGUACGAAAGGAGAACGACGAAA